AUUGAACGCUGGCGGCAGGCCUAACACAUGCAAGUCGAACGAGUGGCGGACGGGUGAGUAAUGUCUGGGAAACUGCCUGAUGGAGGGGGAUAACUACUGGAAACGGUAGCUAAUACCGCAUACCAUCGGAUGUGCCCAGAGGGGGUUAGCUAGUAGGUGGGGUAAAGGAUCACCUAGGCGACGAUCCCUAGCGGGUCGGAGAGGAUGACCAGCCACAGUGGAACUGGGAACCGGGCCAGACCCCAACGGGAGGCAGCAGGGGGGAGUGUUGCACAUUGGGCGAAAGGCGGAUGCAGCCAGGCCGCGUGUGGGAAGAAGGCCUUCGGGUUGUAAAGCACUUUCAGCGAGGAGGCGUUACUCGCAGAAGAAGCACCGGCUACCUCCGUGCCAGCAGCCGCGGUAAUU
rnacentral:rRNA from 1 species